GGGUCACGGUUAGCUGCCGGCGGGGAAGAUCGGGGGGGGGAAGCGUUGUUCGGGAAUAUGGGCCGUAAAGGGGGCGUGGUGGGUGCGGUAAGUGCUUAGUGAAAUCUCUGGGCGUAACUCAGGGUCUGCUAUAGAAACUGCCGGGCUCGAGUGUGGGAGAGGUGAGUGGAAUUCCCGGUGUAUCGGUGAAAUGCGUAGAUAUCGGGAGGAACACCUGUGGCGAAAGCGGCUCACUGGACCACAACUGACGCUGAUGCGCGAAAGCUAGGGGAGCAAACAGGAUUAGAUACCCGAGUAGUC
rnacentral:rRNA from 1 species